CAGCCGCCGCGGUAAAACGGAGGGGGCUAGCGUUGUUCGGAAUUACUGGGCGUAAAGCGCACGUAGGCUGCUUUGUAAGUCAGAGGUGAAAGCCCGGGGCUCAACUCCGGAGUUGCCUUUAAGACUGCCGAGCUAGUAGGUGAGAGAGGUAAGUGGAAUUCCGAGUGUAGAGGUGAAAUUCGUAGAUAUUCGGAAGAACACCAGUGGCGAAGGCGGCUUACUGGCUCAUUCUAGACGCUGAGGUGCGAAAGCGUGGGGAGCAAACAGGAUUAGAUACCCCCGUAGUCCCUGUCUCUUAUAC
rnacentral:rRNA from 1 species